rnacentral:rRNA from 1 species
CUACGGGUUGCACCAGUGGGGAAUCUUGCACAAUGGGCGAAAGCCUGAUGCAGCCAUGCCGCGUGAGUGAAGAAGGCCCUAGGGUUGUAAAGCUCUUUCAGCAGGGAAGAUAAUGACUGUACCUGCAGAAGAAGCCCCGGCUAACUCCGUGCCAGCAGCCGCGGUAAUACGGAGGGGGCUAGCGUUGUUCGGAAUUACUGGGCGUAAAGCGCGCGUAGGCGGAUUAGUUAGUUGGGGGUGAAAGCCCGGAGCUCAACUCCGGAAUUGCCUUCAAUACUGCUAGUCUUGAGUCCGAGAGAGGGUGGUGGAAUUCCCAGUGUAGAGGUGAAAUUCGUAGAUAUUGGGAAGAACACCAGUGGCGAAGGCGGCCACCUGGCUCGGUACUGACGCUGAGGUGCGAAAGCGUGGGGAGCAAACAGGAUUAGAUACCCCAGUAGUC